UUAAGUUAUUAAGGGCGCACGGUGGAUGCCUUGGCACUAGAAGCCGAUGAAGGACGUUACUAACGACGAUAUGCUUUGGGGAGCUGUAAGUAAGCUUUGAUCCAGAGAUUUCCGAAUGGGGAAACCCAGCAUGAGUUAUGUCAUGUUAUCGAUAUGUGAAUACAUAGCAUAUCAGAAGGCACACCCGGAGAACUGAAACAUCUUAGUACCCGGAGGAAGAGAAAGAAAAUUCGAUUCCCUUAGUAGCGGCGAGCGAAACGGGAAGAGCCCAAACCAACAAGCUUGCUUGUUGGGGUUGUAGGACACUCUAUACGGAGUUACAAAGGACGACAUUAGACGAAUCAUCUGGAAAGAUGAAUCAAAGAAGGUAAUAAUCCUGUAGUCGAAAAUGUUGUCUCUCUUGAGUGGAUCCUGAGUACGACGGAGCACGUGAAAUUCCGUCGGAAUCUGGGAGGACCAUCUCCUAAGGCUAAAUACUCUCUAGUGACCGAUAGUGAACCAGUACCGUGAGGGAAAGGUGAAAAGCACCCCGGAAGGGGAGUGAAAUAGAACCUGAAACCGUGUGCUUACAAGUAGUCAGAGCCCGUUAAUGGGUGAUGGCGUGCCUUUUGUAGAAUGAACCGGCGAGUUACGAUUUGAUGCAAGGUUAAGCAGUAAAUGUGGAGCCGUAGCGAAAGCGAGUCUGAAUAGGGCGUUUAGUAUUUGGUCGUAGACCCGAAACCAGGUGAUCUACCCUUGGUCAGGUUGAAGUUCAGGUAACACUGAAUGGAGGACCGAACCGACUUACGUUGAAAAGUGAGCGGAUGAACUGAGGGUAGCGGAGAAAUUCCAAUCGAACCUGGAGAUAGCUGGUUCUCUCCGAAAUAGCUUUAGGGCUAGCCUCAAGUGAUGAUUAUUGGAGGUAGAGCACUGUUUGGACGAGGGGCCCCUCUCGGGUUACCGAAUUCAGACAAACUCCGAAUGCCAAUUAAUUUAACUUGGGAGUCAGAACAUGGGUGAUAAGGUCCGUGUUCGAAAGGGAAACAGCCCAGACCACCAGCUAAGGUCCCAAAAUAUAUGUUAAGUGGAAAAGGAUGUGGCGUUGCCCAGACAACUAGGAUGUUGGCUUAGAAGCAGCCAUCAUUUAAAGAGUGCGUAAUAGCUCACUAGUCGAGUGACACUGCGCCGAAAAUGUACCGGGGCUAAACAUAUUACCGAAGCUGUGGAUUGUCCUUUGGACAAUGGUAGGAGAGCGUUCUAAGGGCGUUGAAGCAUGAUCGUAAGGACAUGUGGAGCGCUUAGAAGUGAGAAUGCCGGUGUGAGUAGCGAAAGACGGGUGAGAAUCCCGUCCACCGAUUGACUAAGGUUUCCAGAGGAAGGCUCGUCCGCUCUGGGUUAGUCGGGUCCUAAGCUGAGGCCGACAGGCGUAGGCGAUGGAUAACAGGUUGAUAUUCCUGUACCACCUAUAAUCGUUUUAAUCGAUGGGGGGACGCAGUAGGAUAGGCGAAGCGUGCGAUUGGAUUGCACGUCUAAGCAGUAAGGCUGAGUAUUAGGCAAAUCCGGUACUCGUUAAGGCUGAGCUGUGAUGGGGAGAAGACAUUGUGUCUUCGAGUCGUUGAUUUCACACUGCCGAGAAAAGCCUCUAGAUAGAAAAUAGGUGCCCGUACCGCAAACCGACACAGGUAGUCAAGAUGAGAAUUCUAAGGUGAGCGAGCGAACUCUCGUUAAGGAACUCGGCAAAAUGACCCCGUAACUUCGGGAGAAGGGGUGCUCUUUAGGGUUAACGCCCAGAAGAGCCGCAGUGAAUAGGCCCAAGCGACUGUUUAUCAAAAACACAGGUCUCUGCUAAACCGUAAGGUGAUGUAUAGGGGCUGACGCCUGCCCGGUGCUGGAAGGUUAAGAGGAGUGGUUAGCUUCUGCGAAGCUACGAAUCGAAGCCCCAGUAAACGGCGGCCGUAACUAUAACGGUCCUAAGGUAGCGAAAUUCCUUGUCGGGUAAGUUCCGACCCGCACGAAAGGCGUAACGAUUUGGGCACUGUCUCAACGAGAGACUCGGUGAAAUCAUAGUACCUGUGAAGAUGCAGGUUACCCGCGACAGGACGGAAAGACCCCGUGGAGCUUUACUGUAGCCUGAUAUUGAAAUUCGGCACAGCUUGUACAGGAUAGGUAGGAGCCUUUGAAACGUGAGCGCUAGCUUACGUGGAGGCGCUGGUGGGAUACUACCCUAGCUGUGUUGGCUUUCUAACCCGCACCACUUAUCGUGGUGGGAGACAGUGUCAGGCGGGCAGUUUGACUGGGGCGGUCGCCUCCUAAAAGGUAACGGAGGCGCUCAAAGGUUCCCUCAGAAUGGUUGGAAAUCAUUCAUAGAGUGUAAAGGCAUAAGGGAGCUUGACUGCGAGACCUACAAGUCGAGCAGGGUCGAAAGACGGACUUAGUGAUCCGGUGGUUCCGCAUGGAAGGGCCAUCGCUCAACGGAUAAAAGCUACCCCGGGGAUAACAGGCUUAUCUCCCCCAAGAGUUCACAUCGACGGGGAGGUUUGGCACCUCGAUGUCGGCUCAUCGCAUCCUGGGGCUGUAGUCGGUCCCAAGGGUUGGGCUGUUCGCCCAUUAAAGCGGUACGCGAGCUGGGUUCAGAACGUCGUGAGACAGUUCGGUCCCUAUCCGUCGUGGGCGUAGGAAAUUUGAGAGGAGCUGUCCUUAGUACGAGAGGACCGGGAUGGACAUACCUCUGGUGUACCAGUUGUCGUGCCAACGGCAUAGCUGGGUAGCUAUGUGUGGACGGGAUAAGUGCUGAAAGCAUCUAAGCAUGAAGCCCCCCUCAAGAUGAGAUUUCCCAACUUCGGUUAUAAGAUCCCUCAAAGAUGAUGAGGUUAAUAGGUUCGAGGUGGAAGCAUGGUGACAUGUGGAGCUGACGAAUACUAAUCGAUCGAAGACUUAAAUCA
rnacentral:rRNA from 1 species